GACGUAGGGGGCGAGCGUUAUUCGGAAUCAUUGGGCGUAAAGCGCACGUAGGCGGCCUGUUAAGUCGGAUGUGAAAGCCCUGGGCUCAACCCAGGAAGUGCAUUCGAAACUGGCAGGCUUGAGUAUGGAAGAGGGUUGCGGAAUUCCCGGUGUAGAGGUGAAAUGCGUAGAGACCCGGAGGAACACCAGUGGCGAAGGCGGCUUCCUGGUCUGCAACUGACGCUGUGGCGCGAAAGCUAGGGGAGCGAACGGG
rnacentral:rRNA from 1 species